rnacentral:rRNA from 1 species
AAUCAACGCUGGCGGCGUGCCUCAGACAUGCAAGUCGAGCGGUAAGGCCCUUUCGGGGGUACACGAGCGGCGAACGGGUGAGUAACACGUGGGUGACCUGCCCUCAGCUCUGGGAUAAGCCUGGGAACCGGGUCUAAUACUGGAUAUGACUCCAUGACGCAUGUUGUGGGGUGGAAAGCCUUGUGCGGCUGAGGAUGGGCCCGCGGCCUAUCAGCUUGUUGGUGGGGNGAUGGCCUACCAAGGCGACGACGGGUAGCCGGCCUGAGAGGGCGACCGGCCACACUGGGACUGAGACACGGCCCAGACUCCUACGGGAGGCAGCAGUGGGGAAUCUUGCGCAAUGGGCGAAAGCCUGACGCAGCGACGCCGCGUGAGGGAUGACGGCCUGGU